UACAGAGGGGGCAAGCGUUGUUCGGAAUUACUGGGCGUAAAGGGCGCGUAGGCGGCCUGCUAAGUCGAACGUGAAAUCCCCGAGCUCAACUCGGGAACUGCGUCCGAUACUGGCGAGGCUCGAAUCCGGGGGAGGGAUGUGGAAUUCCAGGUGUAGCGGUGAAAUGCGUAGAUAUCAGGAAGAACACCCGUGGCGAAGGCGGUUCUCUGGGACGGUACUGACGCUGAGACGCGAAAGCGUGGGGAGCGAACAGG
rnacentral:rRNA from 1 species